UACGAAGGGGGCUAGCGUUGCUCGGAAUCACUGGGCGUAAAGGGUGCGUAGGCGGGUUGGUAAGUCAGUGGUGAAAUCUUCAAGCUUAACUUGGAAACUGCCGUUGAUACUAUCAAUCUUGAAUAUUGUGGAGGUAAGCGGAAUAUGUCAUGUAGCGGUGAAAUGCUUAGAUAUCGUAAGGAAGACCAGUGGCGAAGGCGAAUCUCUGGACAGUUACUGACACUGAGGCACGAAGGCCAGGGGAGCAAACGGG
rnacentral:rRNA from 1 species